UACGUAGGGGGGCGAGCGUUGUCCGGAUUUAUUGGGCGUAAAGAGCGUGUAGGCGGCUUGGUAGGUCCGCUGUGAAAACUCGGGGGCUCAACCCCGAGAGGUCGGUGGAAACCAUCUGGCUAGAGUCCGGAAGAGGAGAGUGGAAUUCCUGGUGUAGCGGUGAAAUGCGCAGAUAUCAGGAAGAACACCCGUGGCGAAGGCGGCUCUCUGGGACGGUACUGACGCUGAGACGCGAAAAACGUGGGGGAGCGAACAGG
rnacentral:rRNA from 1 species